rnacentral:lncRNA from 1 species
GAAAUUAAAUAGCACAUUCACAACUUAGGAUCAAAGCAGAAAUUCCAAAGCAAAAUUUAAAACACUUUUAAUUAAAUGAAAAGUCAACAUAUAUGAAAUGUAGCUAAAGCUUUGCUUAGAAGAUUGAUGCCUCCCAUACUGCUUUCAUAAUUUCCUGUAGUAGAAAGCAGUGAAAUAGAUGGCACAAAAACAAUAGUUUAGAGAAUGUUAACAAAACUAGAAGUUGUUUCUCUAAAAAGAUCAAAGAAAUUAACAACCCAACCCCCUACCUACACUGACCAAGACAGUAAAAAGGACAGAUAUAAAAAUCAGGAGUAAAAGAGGUCACUACUGCCCCAUAGAAAUUUAAAAGGACUACAGUCAAGGAGAUGUCAUGAACAACUUUAUUUUAACAAAUUAGACAACAUAUGAAAUGGACAAAUUCCUAGAAAGAAAGAUUAUCAAAAGUGAUGGAGGAGGAAAAUAGAAAAUAGGAACAGUCAUAAAAAUGAAUUACAUUUUCUAGAAAUGGAAGCCAAGUCCCAGGUGGAUUCAUUGAUGAAUUCUAUCAAACAUUUAAAAGAAACAAUAAUAGUAACCUUUCACAAACUCAUUAAGAAAAUAGAAGAAAAGGGAACACUUUUCAGCUCAUUUAAUGAGUGUAACAUAUCCCUUAUAAACUCAGGCAGAAAAUGUUUAAGAAAAUAUUAGCAAACCAAAUUCAGCAACAUGAGAAAUAUAUAAUGGAUUAUAUACCAAAUAUAUAUUGAUUACUUGAAACUUAUUUCAGGAGUGCAAGCUUCAAUUAACACAUAAAAAUUAAUGUAAUAUACCAAUUGUCAACAGAUGUUACCUUAAAAUAUAAGAUAUGGGAUUGGCUCAGUGGAGUAAUGCUUGCCUAGUAUCCACAAGCCCCUGAGCUCCAUCUCUAGCAUUGCAAAGAGGAAACAAACUACCACCAACAAAAAACCCAAAACAAAACAAAAGGCAGGCAGGUGGUAAAUAUUUUAGACUUUUGGCCUAUAUAGUCUCUGUUCGAACUACUCAGCCCUGUUUGUUUACUACCAUAUGUAAAAAAAAUCGAUGUGGCCAUAUUCCAGAAAAACUGUAUUUAUGAAAAUAAGAUAGUUUGGGCUUGGAAUGUGACUCAGUGUUAGAGCACUUGCCUAGCAUAAGUGAGGCCCUGGGUUCAGUCCCUAGUACCAUAACAAGCAAACACCACCCCCAUCCCUGAAAAAAAAUCCAUAAUAGAUAACUGGCCCACAGGUCAUGGUUUGCUUUAUUAAUAAAGGUUAAAAAAAUGUAAUCAUCUACAUAGACAAACAUUUGGCAAAAUCCAACACUGGUGAUUCAUGAUUAAACUUCUCAGCCAACUAGAAAUAAAAGGCACCUUCUAUCUGAUAGAGUAUCUACGAAAAGCGUACAACUAGCAUAUUUAAUGACAGAAUACUGAGUAUUUUCUCCCUAAGACUGAGAAUAAGGUGGGAAAAAAUGGCAAUUCCUACCAAGUCUUUGAACAUCAUACCGGAAGUUCUAGCUAGUGCAAUAAGAGAGAAAAAGGGAUCCGAAUUGUAAAGAAAUAAUUAAAAUUGUCUUUAUUUGAUGAAUAAUUCUAUAUAUAAUCCUAAAGAAUCCACAAAAACAAAAAUUGGGACUGAUCAAGUCACAGGAUACUAGAUAAAUACAAAUAUCAAUGAUAUAUUUAUUUAUAUACUAGCAGCAAUCCAAAAAUAAAUGUAAUGAAACAAUUCCAUUCAUGGUUGUAUCCAAAGAAUAAAAUACUUAGAAAUUAACAAAAUCAGAAUAAGAUUUAUACAGCUAUGAAAUACUACUAAG